rnacentral:lncRNA from 1 species
AGAGUGCGGGGAGACCGCGUUUAGAGGAUCAGUGGCGGCGGCACCCGCGGCCCCGCGCGGCGCGGACGGCGGGCAGCACCGUGCCUGGGCCCCCUCCUGCUCCGAACAGCCCAAGGAGCAGAAAAGAGUGACAAGGCCGUGAAAGGAGGCGCCUGGGGCGUAGCCGGCUCUAGGAGGUUACCCCAUGCGGAGUACACACCCUGCUACACCCAUCCCGGAGGAGGGAGGAAAUAGCCAGCCCGGAGCACCCCUGGACUCUGCCGGUCCCAGAGGCCACGCAAACUCCGCCCAGACUCGGUGAGGCCGCGGUAAUGCCACGCAGGGAACUGCGUGGAUAAGGUCGCUCGGAUCUGAGCGCCAAGGUCUCCCGCCUCUCCUUCCCGUCUAGUUCUCUCCGGACUCAAAUUGCCUUAAUCUCACCCAUCACUCUCUCAUGGAAAUGAUCUACUCGUGUGCAGUACUUCACAGCUUGUAUCACGGUCUCCCCUGAACCGUAUAGCAAGAGGGUGGUGGGGGGUGGAAGAGAAGGGUACUAUCUCCACUUUCCCGGCCAGGAGGCCCAAGUUAGGAGGCUUGUCCGAGAUCCCUAGGUCAGAGCACUAUUUAAGGUGAGAAGUUGGGUGGGGAGCUUGGCACCUUGCUCCAGUGUGCACUUUGCGCCUGGCCAUGUUUUAUAAGCAAGGGGGGCUUGGGCUGGUUAAGGGGGAGCAGGGACCGCAGGGCCAGGAAAGGGCAGCAUCCGGCAGGCCGGGGCGUCACGGUAUGUGCCUGGCCUGGGUAAACAACUCUGGCUUCCCACGAGCGCUGGAGGGACCCUGGGCAUGGGGCAGGGGCGUGGGGGAGGGGGGGCAGGGGCGUGGGGUGGGGCAGGGAGCGGGUGGAACAGCGAGGUCAAGCGUGGAGAUUCCAGUUGCGAGUCAGCUCCGCGCCGCGGAGCAAAGACAGGACGUGGAUAAUCUUGGGAGGGAGACGCUGAGCUGAAGAACAGAAAAGAGAGACAGAGGCAGAAGUGAGGAGAGAGGGACAGGAAAAGAAAAUAAAGGCAGAAAACCAGAGAAAAGAUGAGACGGAGUGCGGAAAAGCAGGCGGGGAUAAAGAAAGGAAAGAUCUGUCGGGGAAAUGCGGGGAGAAGUGGAGGAAAAGAAACAGAAAUUAGACCCAGAGAGAGACCCUGCCACGAAGAAGGCCGCGGGGACGGGCGCGGAGCCGAGGGCCCUGCAGGCACGGAGGGGGCGUCCCGCGGGUCUGGGGGUGUGCGGCUUUGGGACAGGCGAGUGCGUGCUGAGAGAAAGAGGCAGCGUGUUUGGUGGGAGACUCUGCGCCCGUGGAAAAGCGGCUCUGGGCAGGAAUCCAACAAAUAAAUAAAACGUCUAAGACGGCGUGACAACAAUGUGUAUUUGGGUGCGUGCCCGUGUUCCUCUGUCUGAACACCCAGUAAGGAAGACAAACGGGGCUCGUGCCUCACAGUAAUUAAUCCUCUCACUAAUUGACUCUCUCCCCUUACCUAAUGGCGGUGGUCACUGCCGAUAUCUGGAGAGACAUCAAGUUGGGGGAGACAGAGAGAGAGAACCCCAAAGCUAACGACCUUUGGGACUGAGAUUGAGUUUUUUCUGGACUUGGCAGCUCUAAGCCCUGCCCCCACCUCCACUUUUGGGCAGAGUUCCAUAGAUAUUGCUGCCUUCCUUCCCCCUCCAGGUUUUGGGCAGCAUUAAUAAAGAUCUCCUCAGAUUAGGGUGAUGUGGUUACACACACUGAAGCCCUUCUACCGCCCUCCACCUUGGGAGAUCAGUUUCAGAGGCUGAAAGCCACCCCUGUCCCUGGGACAUUUCUUACCUCCCUGCAAUACCAGCUCCCCCUCCCAUGUUGUUCCCCCAGGGGCCCAGACCCUGCACCCUCUUCUUUCAGGCAGUACUAACUCUUCCAAGGACCUGGGCGGUGUCCCGCAGUCCCCUAAGGCAGGUGAGGUUUUGAACGGGCUGAGAAGCAGUCUGGGGUUGAUGGAAGGAGAGUGGUGGGAGGUCAGGGCAAGGAUGGGGAGAGGCUUCCAGAGACAACCUUCCUCAGACUUGGGUUGAGAGACACAGAGGCGCAGAGAGGCGCAGUUGCCACCAGGCAAGAGAGAGGCCUCUAGGGACAAAGGAGGGAAAGGUGGGCUCUAUGCACUGUGGGAAGGAGCGCCAAGUGUGUGAGAGGCAGGAAGGUGGUCAUGUCUCUGUGACUGUGAGGGUGACAGUUCUGGUCUCUCUGUGUGAGCAUGGGGAAGCCCCCUAUGUUCCCUCACAGCACCCUCAGUUCUUAGACUGGGGAGAAGAGGCAGGGGACUGGUCUGGGACUUGAUGGUCCCCUUGGUAGCUGAGUUGGCUGGAAGGGGUCCAACGCCCACAGUCUGUCUGGUAAUGCAGCUUUGAGGCUUAGGUUUGGGAGGUGAAUGUCAACUCUCACCCCUGUGAGGUGGCAGCUUUGCUCUGUUGGCCUCCUCAGAGGCUAAAUAAAGAAAUGCUGAGAUCUAUAAACCACCCAGCCCAGAGAGAAAAAGGAGGGAGGAAGGGCAGCUCCCUAGAAAAAAAUCCACCCCCUCCCCACCACUAAACACAUUUUUAAUUGUCCCUUGGGAACAUUUGUACAUUUGACCAAAGCAAAUCUCAAAGCAGCAGCAGCAAAAUGAGUCAGAGGGGCUGGUGGUCCAGAGAGAGCUGGGGAUCGGAGAUGGGGAGGUGAGGAGAGGUGGCAGGCAUGUUUGGGAAGGUGAGAAACUUGGUUCCUUUCCCACCAUCUCUGUCAAGCUUUAGAAAGAAAGUGAGCAGGAGAAAUAAAGUUCCAGGGGAAAGAAAGAGAAGGGCAUAUAAAAGGCAAAUCCAACCCAGAAAGGAAAGAAAGUGAAGAAGAAAGAAAAAGGCAGGGAGGGGGGAGAGACUAUAAUAAAAGAGGGUGAAGGCGGCCCCAGGAGGCUGGGCCUCGUCCCAAACCAUCCGUCUUCAUUGUCUCCGUGUGUGCAAAGGCAACUCUGGCAUAAGGAAAACCCACUAUUGGAGCCGAGGCUUUAUUUUAUAUCCUAUACAUCAGGAGGGAGGCAAAGCUUUAUUUUCGCCAAGAGACAGAUAUUUUAUUUCUCUCUUACGGUUUUAUGUGUGAGAGAUGUCAGGUUGCCACAAUGGAUGGCUAAUGCAUAGGCAAGAGGAAGCCGUGUUGGCAUGCUGUGUGUCAUGGGGUCUUGUGGGGGUGAGCGGGCCUGGGAUUUAGGGCUGAUGGGACACUCUGGGGGAUUUCUGCUAAAACAUCUCUCUUCAUAAAUCCAGAAGCAUGGUCAGCUCAACAGGGAGAAGAAGGAGUUUUAGAGGGGAAAGAGUUGGGCUUAGUAAUAAACGAACACACAAAGGAACCGCUUACCUUCCAACAGCCUCGGGCAACAGGGGCACGACAGCCCCAUGGAAAUGCAGACACCCAUGUCCACGCACACAAGCGCCAUUCACAGGGAAGUAUUUUCCUGACACAAAAUCCAAUGUCAGUUUCCUUUCCUUUCCCCGUUUUAUAUUUUUCCACCCCCCUUCACCAGAAAUCUUUUUUAACCUCCUCAGAGCCUUGGGGGAAAAGAGCCAUUAAUUUGCAAAUCAUCUGAUCUGUGAAAGGAUCAAGAUGCCUGGUUUUCACUGCUAAAUCCAACGUCUUGAGUGGACACAGAGGCACACACAAGCCCGUCAUGCUGCCAACCCUUGGGAGCAUAGGUGCCAGAUCUGAAGCCAAGAAAAGACUCCCUCUCCUCCCGGGACCUGCAGCUGAAUUAAGCCUUAGAUUCCAAACUGCAUAAUGUUCAUAUUUUUAAACCUGGAGAGAAGUGGAGAGAUGAAGGGGGACAAAAAGAGGGGGAACUUUGUUAAUUAACGUGUUCCAUUCAGGACUUAGACUAAUUGUCUUCCCCACUUCCAGCCGCCCCCCAACCCAAGCCAUUUCUUACAGGAGUUGCUUUUAUUCAUUCUCAUGUUCUACUUUUCUCAUUUUUGGAUUAAUAUCUACUUGUUUAAUAUCUACUGUGGCGCAAAAACGUGACCACGCUCUUUCUUUUCAGAGGGUUGGAAGCAGCACAGGAUUCCUAGACAAGGAGCUUGGAGACUUGGCUACACUGUCCCUGGCCAUUAGGGAAGACGUUUAGCCUUUCCGGGCCUCAGUUUUCUCAUCUGUAACAUGAGGGGAUUCGGCUAAAUGAUUACUGAGGUCCCUUCCAGCUCCGACCUCCUCUGGCCGAAUGAGAUAAUGUGUGAAAACACUUUGUGAACACUAACACCGGACAGAUGCCAGGGAUCAUUAUUGCAAUUCUAAUCAAUCCUCUUUUCUCCACAUGGAUCUUGGCUGUUUAGUGCCAGCAAGCAGGCUAAAGGGGGCUGAAAGCAAGAAAGCUUAGCGGACAUGGAAAAGCUCUGUGCAGUGGGAGGGAAAAAAAAAACCCUGCAUCUCCAGAAACAUUGUGUCUCUGUGUGCCCCCUGAGGCCUAGUGGGAAGGGUUGGGGAGGAGGAGGCCUGACUUGGUAUGACCCAUUUUGGUCUACAUGGCGGCAGAGAGUGUAUUUCUUCAAAAGCAUUGUUGGUCUCCAAGUGACUGACAUGGGAACCUGAUGGGAAGGCGAUUUGCAAUUGUUUUUUUCCAGGAAGAAAGAAAGAGCAAGGUGUAGCUGAUUAGCAAGUUAAUUAUUUCAGUACCCCAAGGGUUCCAGUGUGGUGGUAAGUUGUCCAGCCCUGGUGUAAUUUCACAGUCUGUGCAUUUCCUGGUGAGCACCUGGGGUGCCCGAGUCUGUCUCUUUCUCUUUCCACCUGCCUUGUGUCUUCCUGACACACCUGGGGAGAUGAGCAGGGGCUGGGGAGGUUGAUGGUACAAGGUACACAUUCGGCUUAGGCUGCGGGUGGGGGCCACACCAAGAACAGGGUGGAGGAAGCCCAACUGAUGCCAUCUACCUCCGCUGAGUGUUUAAUUAUCUGGCCCUUUCUUCUUUAAAAAAUAAUCUUUUGUUUAAUAAAUAUUAAUGAGGCGGGUUAUCGGAAAGUGUAGUUGCCAUGAGGUUAUUUCCCCAGCCUUAGCAUGGAAAGAAACUGGGUUUGAGGAGCCUUUCGGCCCCUCACCGCCUUCUACCCCCACCAGCUCUCCCGUGCUCACGUUCCGCAGCAGCUCUUCCGGUCUCACUUCAAGAUUUGAUUUCCCCUUGGGGGAGGGUAGGGGAGGGAGGAUCAUGUGGUCAAAUGGACACUUCCCCUCGGAGAGAUAAGUUGGAGAUGUGAACAUUAGCCUCAAGAAUUAACAGCUUCUGCCGCUCUCUGCUCUCGGGGCUGAGAGGGCCAGCCCCCCCGCUGCUCCUUCCGCGAUGGAUGAAGGGAGGGCUCUACAGUUUACUUAAGAGUGGUCCCAUCUGCUCAGACUGGCCUUUCAUAAGGGGAGGGAUUUAUGCAGUGUCCUUGUGCACAGACCUGGGAUUUGGCUGAAAACCUUGGGCCUCUGAGAAUAUUACUGAACGCUAAAACGUUCAGCCAUGGAGAUGAUUCAUGAUUUUGUCUGCAUGGACAGUGUGUGUGUGUGUGUGUGUGUGUGUGCGCGCGCGCGCGCGCGUGUGUGUUUGUUGGGGUUGCACGCACAGUGAUGAUGGGUGCCACUCACCGUUCUCACUUUGAAUCCAAAUGUUAGGAAACUUUUUUUCCUUCUGUAUUCACUCAGGAGACAGGCCCUGGCACCAGGCUCUGGAGACCCCACUUCCUGACUCCAGCGGUGCGAAGAUGAUACAAUACUUUCUGGUGCUGACAUUCAGCUGUCUCCCAAACAGGUUGGCUGAUAGCCCUGCCCGUCCUUGAAGAGGGGCCGGGGGCUGUCUAAAAAGACAGUUCUGAUGACUGCUUCGUUGGUAGUGGCAGAGGAUUUGGGGCACAGGGGUGGAGUUAAGUCCAAUUGCUGUUUAAAUUGGACUUGGCCUCCUUUAUUUUACAGUCCUAAGGGGUCUCCAUAGGAGAAAAAGUAGCGAGAGAAACUUAGAACACAGGAAAGCAAGCAUAGGGAAGAGUUUCUUGUCUCAAUCUUGGUACUGCCGUGCCAAAAUGAAGCCCAGGGAUGGUUAAAAACGGAUCCUAGGGACCGGGCACCUUGGCUCAGGCCUGUAAUCCCAGCACUUUGGGAGAUCAAGAUGGGAGGAUUGCUUGAGGCUAGGAGUUCGAGGCCAGCCUGGCCAACAUAGUGAGACCUCAUCUCCAAAAAUAAAAACUUAAAAAAAAAUUUAAAAAACAAAAACAAAAAUACAGAUCCUAGGGAACAGAGUUUUGAGGUUCCCUGUGGGAUCUUGGCCUGACUCUUGGGAGAUGAAGAAGUCCUUGGCAAGUUUGAAAAGAUCUACAAGUGCCAUCUAUUCAGGGGACUAAAUGUGAUUUCUUUUCACUGCCCAGUGGCUGGUAAGGAAGGAAGCAUUUUGCAUUUUCAGCUUGUAGGAUGGUUAUUGGUGGUCCUACCAUCUUGCUCAUGUUCAAGUUUGGUCGUGUAGAUGAAGAGCCCAGCUUCCCAGCUCUUAGUUUUUCUUUUCCCUCAGGCCAUUCAUAAUUUAGCUAACAUUCUAGUCCAUUGACCAGCAUGCAUUUUGAAAGGUGAGCUGGCAAGCCUGUAACUGUGUGCAAGGUUGUUCUCAUUUAGGCUCCAGGAAGGAUAUAGUUUCCCCAUAAGAAAGAAAAGUGGGCGAGAGGCUGAGGUGGGAGGUCACUUGAGUCCAGGAGGCAAAGAUUGCAGUGAGCUGAGAACCAUGCCACUCACUGCCUUCCAGCUUGGGUGACAGAGUGAGACCCCAUCUCGAAAAAAAAAAAAAAAAAAAAAGAAAAAGAAAGAAAGAAAGAAAUAAAAGCAAGGAACUAUUUAUAUUAAUCUUUUAAUGAAGGAUUUACCAAUCUGAUAAGUACGAAGCUCCUUUUCCUCCUUCUGAAUGAGUAACUAUGUCAGUCAAUGUUGAGGGUCUGCAGAACCUAUACAAAAAUGCUUUCUUUGGUCUCUCAGUUUUAACACAUGCUGGGGCUUGGGCCUGCCUCUGACAGACUGGGGAGGAGUAGACACAUUCCAGAGACCAGGUCUUGGAGUGUUAUCUCUUCCCCCACCUCAAAUCCUCACCCUCCACUUUAUCUGUCUUUAGCACGAAUGCAGAGACCUCCUAGGGAAGUGUGAAGGGAUGGGUUUUCGUCAGGUUUAGGGAAGGAAGGGGAAUAAGAUGAGCCCCAAAGAAAGAUGGGGGUCAUUUGGAAUUUUUAGAUGACACUCUUUUGUUAUACUUUUCUUGUAUUGUGUAUUAUGUCCUACAAAUCGUGCAUUUGUUACAGUAAGCCACAGUGUGUAUGUGUGUUUGCCAAGUGCUGCUUGGCCAAAACAGUGUUAAAUAAAAUUGUAAGAAAUGCUACCAGGGCCUUGCAUGGGUUAUUUAAUUCUAUCAAUGAUAAACAACGUUAAUGUGUAGCAUCUCAGUUGGCACAGUAUCAUGUUUCAUUUAUAUAUGCUGAGAUAUAUUUAAGCAUGAAAGAUACAGUUUUCCAACAUAUAUGUUUCCCAGUGAUUACUUAGGGGAAGUGUGAUAGAAACAGCAGAAACCUUUCUCUCUCACAUAAACCUGCAUCCUGCAAACACAGACUGCCAGUCACACUUAGUCACAUGGCCAGCCAGCCAUGUACAUAUUUUCGUAUAUAUGCCUUCACAGGUAAGUGUAAAUGUAGAUUUUAGAAAUGUAGAUUCAGAUUUCUGUACUGGUACACGAUUCUAGAUACAUGUAGCAG